AGGAGGAGUUGACCAUCCUGACGAAGUGAAAAGAUGUUCUGCUCAGGAAGAAAGUACAUAUGAGAGAUCAUAAAAGAGUACCGCAGCAUGAGUGGAUGAAGCUGGAAAUUGACAGAGAUGAGAAUCAAAUUCAGCUCUGAUUCUUCCAAAGUCAGAGAGAGAAAAUGAGAGACCACAAGAAGGGAGAGUGGCAGAGAGAGAAAUGGAGAAGC